rnacentral:rRNA from 1 species
GACGAACGCUGGCGGCGUGCUUAACACAUGCAAGUCGAACGGAAAGGCCCUGCUUUUGUGGGGUGCUCGAGUGGCGAACGGGUGAGUAACACGUGAGUAACCUGCCCUUGACUUUGGGAUAACUUCAGGAAACUGGGGCUAAUACCGUAUAGGAGCUCCUGCUGCAUGGUGGGGGUUGGAAAGUUUCGGCGGUUGGGGAUGGACUCGCGGCUUAUCAGCUUGUUGGUGGGGUAGUGGCUUACCCAGGCUUUGACGGGUAGCCGGCCUGAGAGGGUGACCGGCGACAUUGGGACUGAGAUACGGACCAGUCGGGAAUGGGAGGCAGCAGUGGCGAAUCUUGCACAGUGGGCGCGAGCCUGAUGAAGAGACGUUGCGUGCGGGAAGACGGCUUGCGGGUUGUGAACAGCUUCAGGUUGUGACGAAGCGUUAGUGACGGUAAUGGGUAAAGAAGCACCGGCUAACUACGUG